GGCUCGGUGGUGUAGUUGGUUAUCACGUCAGUCUAACAACGGUUAGCACACUGAAGGUCCCGAGUUCAAACCUCGGCUGAGUCA